GGGCUGGGCGCAGCCUGCCAGCGGCCGGGCCCGACCCUGCCUGCGACUUCCUGGAACAAUAAGCUCCGGGCCCGAGCACUGUGGGCCGGCCCGGGACCUAGAGUGGCACCGCCGCGACCCCUCCCUCGGGCCCCCCGAGGUGGCCAGGGGCUGAGGCGUGACCCGGCCUGCCCCGGAGUGUUUGCAGGAGACGUCGGGGGAACAGCUCGAGCCCGCCGGGACCCUAGCCUCACUGCCCCGCCGCCCUCGAAGACCUGUCCUUCCGGAGCCCUGGAGACCGCAGGGGCACCAAGGGCCCCUCCCCCGGCCUCCCGGCUCUGAGCCCCCCAGCAAACAGUUGUAAUAUCGUGGUUGUAGAUCCUGCUGGUUCUGCCUCAGCUGGACGCCACCUCAGCAUGGCUUGAUGAGCAGUGCCAGGUCCACGCUCAGGAUCCCAACCGGCGAAACCCUGGGCCUCCGAAGUGGCGUACACAAACUUAACCACUCGGCCACAGGGCCAGCCCCUCUGUGGAGCUUCUUAUUGCAUCUUCUCUUUCAGCCUCGUCUCUCCCAGCAGAGGAUGAAACUGCUCAAGAUUACCUCAGUUUUACAGGUGAAUAAACCAAAGAUCCCAGAGGUUAAGGUAAUCUAGGGUUACAUGACUAAGGAGUGGUAGAGCCAGUAUUUGAACCUGGUUAUCUGAUAUAAGACAUUUUCAGACAAAAAAAAUCUUGAGUUUACCAACAGAAAAUAAUCCCUGAUGCAAGAAGGAAUGUUGAGCAAAGAAAUUAGUAAAUAAGUGGUUGAAACUAAAAAAUAUUUACCAUAGAAAGUAAUAAUAGUACAUAAUUUGUGUGGUUAAUAAAGUAAACCAAUAUAGAACUAAUAUCCUGGGCAACAAAGUCAUAAUUUGGAAGUAGGAUGGGUGGGGUGAUGAUUGGAGUUGAAGUUUUCCAAGAUCCUUAUCUUGUUUGGGAAAAGGGUGAAAAUAUUGAUAAGCUUUACUCUUUUAAGUGUACAAGUUAAAAUAACUUGGGUGACUACUAAAAGAGGAUAUAAUUUCUGAAUUAAUAGAGGGAGAAAAUAGAAUUUAAAAAAGAGCAAGAUGUGAAGAUAGAGAAAAGAAACAAAGAAAUAGUGAAACAAAUAGAAAUCCCAAGUAAUAAUAUGGUAAAAAA